rnacentral:sRNA from 1 species
CCUACCCUGUAGAACCAAAGGGGUCAAUUGACCCCUCCGAACUAGUUCUGCGCUGUUUACCGCGCAACUAGCUACGCAACUAGUUACGCGGGAAGCGAACGCAGACCAGGUCUUCGUCGACUACAAUGUACUAGUUCUGCAACUAGUUACGCGGGAAGCGAACGCGGACCAGUCGAAAAAGAACCAAAAAACGAAGCCGCCUUCGGUUUGUUUUUGAAGGCGGCAAAUAACCGCAAUUCCGUGAAGUUACAGUGCCCACUCAGCUAGUUUUUACCGAGCCACGACAUGCAAUGAGCACCGAAAUGGUACGUGCAAAUACUUUUAGAAACUCUAAAACAGGAGAAUGCAGUUAUUCGUGAUCAAUUGAAUGCAGUGGUCCAAAUUUUAGCGGAUCAAACUGUUUUAAUAAAGCAGCUGGUAAAGGAGAAGGGGGAAUUGAAUCCCAUUCGGGGACAGUUCCCUAUAAAACGUGAGGAAGAACUUAUAGAACUGGAAGAAAAAAUAAAAUUAAAUAGGGACAUUUAUAUAACAGCAAUGAAAU